GAUGAAGAACGCAGCGAAAUGCGAUACGUAAUGUGAAUUGCAGAAUUCAGUGAAUCAUCGAGUCUUUGAACGCACAUUGCGCCCCCUGGUAUUCCGGGGGCAUGCCUGUCCGAGCGUCAUUGCUGCCCUCAAGCACGGCUUGUGUGUUGGGCCUCCGUCCUCCUCCCGGGGGACGGGCCCGAAAGGCAGCGGCGGCACCGCGUCCGGUCCUCGAGCGUAUGGGGCUUCGUCACCCGCUCUUGUAGGCCCGGUCGGCGCUUGCCGACACAUCAAUCUUUUUUCCAGGUUGACCUCGGAUCAGGUAGGGAUACCCGCUGAACUUAAGCAUAUCAAUAAGCGGAGGA
rnacentral:misc_RNA from 1 species